ACCUACAAAUUGGAUUAAGUCUAAUUUAAGUGACAUGUUCUACAAAGAAGGAAAAUAAUUAACAGGCUUGGGGAAUACAAUUUUCACAUAGAUACACCACUAGUAUGUACCUCUUUUUUUUUAAUCAAAGUGGGUCUUAGGGACCAUUUAUUAGAAACUAAAAAGGAAAAACCAGAUCAUAACAUGAUCUUGUCCGAAAACAAAAUACAGAAAUGAACAACCAAAGAAAGGAAACAAAGUUGGUCGUCUUCAAGCUUGAGCUUCCAUGGAGGAUGAAGACGAGGUGCUACCUUGGAGUAAAAUCGAGUCAUCACCUGCUGCAGUCAACUGUGUUCCAUCCAUUUCCAUCCCACUGAAUUCACUCAGCUUGAACAACUUUGGUUGAGCCCCAAAGAUUUGGAUACCACUGCAUAAGGAGGCCAUAUCUGAGUUCCAACUCCGCAUAAAUAGUAUAUUGCAAUUACAUCCACUUAUGCAAGUAUGCAGGACCUACCAUCGCCUUUUGAUAUUUUUUUGUCAUCCAUGUCUUGUUGUUCUUGUUUGUCUCAAUUAUGUUUGUGUAUUGAAACCCAACUCUUGGAAAUCUGAAUAGAUGAUAGUUGUUGUACCUGUAAAAAGAAAAAACUGGUUAGCUAAAUAAUCUACAGAAGUGUUGCUUCCCUAA